UGCUCCCGGGGCUUCAAAGAAAGCUCAGCGUCUGCCGGUGUCAAGCGCGACUUCGUUAUUACCUCUGUCUAGAACAGUACUUACUUACCUGUGUUUAUAGCCGCCCCUUUUCCAUUAAAAUCGACAAGUCAGCAUUUCUCACUUUAAACUCAGUCUCCAUCAGUGAAUGACUUCCUAAACCGAACUGAGAAACCGAAAAGGAAAUGGUCAUCAAGCCCAGAUGCUCCAGUUUUUCCUCCGAGUCGCUGUUCUGGAAACGGCCGUAAGUGACACUCUACACGACGUCACUUGUCGUGUGUCCGGACGCUAAACAGUGCGAGUCGGACAAGGAACCGCGUUAGGGGUGUACAUGCAUAGCUACUGACAGCUGAACGUUGUGGAGACCAGGAAGAUGGAAAGCCCGGGCCAUCCAGUUAGUUACAGCCUCCUAGCAUCUUCGUAAAUGUUAAUAACUUGUUUUCAGAUAAGAUCACACUUGCAAAUACAGAAAACACUGUCUCUGAAACGUCACUUGAGUGCCGCUCUUUUCUUCAUGGUGGAUUUAUUGCCAAUUUUGACUCCGUCUUACUCUGAUCUGGCUUCCCCCUGCCCCCCACCCCAGAAUGCGUAAGAGCUACCAAAAUUAUUGUCUGUCCUUUGGCUCCUUCCUAGAGAAAUAGACGAAGCACAUUAAUCUGUGCUUUUCAGAUCUAGUUGUAAAUCGGAUGUAGAUUGUGUUUUAAGAGCAGUGUUCAUGAUUGAAAUAUAAGUAAUGGUUCCUAUAGCUGGCUUUUUGUGGUAGCUGAAAGAACAUUUAAAAAUUCAUGUUAACUGUUGCAUACUAUAUAAGUUUUAUACUUACUUGAUAUGUUAUACAAUUAUUUCAGUUUUUACCCACUAAACAUUAAUGCAGCAUAGCCCAAAAGUGCUGAAGGGGUACCCUCAGCAUAUUUGCAGUGUGUAUUUGGAAAAGAUUUCAGUUCAAAUGAGUUAGUGAAAAUGGCAGAUUCCUUUUCAAAUCUUAUUUUCAUUUCUGAAGUUGAGUAUAGUGAUGAGUAAGAGCAACCAUUUACAUUAACCUAAUUAUAGCAAGAUGUAGGGGUGUUCCUUUAAAUGAAAAAGAUGGUGGAUUCAAUAUAAACAUAACCUAAUUUUUUUUUUUUUACUAACUUGGAGAGUGGAAAGGGGAAUUUCCUGACAAUAGGCUACAUUUUAACAAAGCAUGAAACCUCUCUGUCGAAACUCAAGAACAGUUGAGUUUGCCACCUGAGUGACAUUCACACUAUGUGCUGAUAAUAUCAGAGUCAUCCCACUCUCUCACAGAGGAAGUUUCCAUACAAAUGCGGUUACCGGGAACUUUACAAAACUACGUACGAGGUAAAUACUGCUUCUUAAGGAUGAGGACUGUCGGUUAGUUGCGGGAAGUCUUGUCGGUCGCUUGGGCCGUUUCCUUGCGAUUUGGCUCAUCCUCAGUUGAGCGUGGUACGUGUUAACAGUGGGCCGUUACAUGUGAAGUGCCCCUUGUUCUUGUACGUAUUCUGUGAGUUCAAAAAAAAUUCUGGCCAGCCACUAUUUUGUCUUUGGCCCAUUCCCCUUUUCUGCUGAGUUAUGUAACUUCUGCUGUUUUCUUUGCUGUAUUGUGAUAACAGUAGGUAUCUGUUUUACCGCCUACUUUUCCUCCCUACUGGGAGCUUUCCCUUCUGAGACCGAAUUGCCACUGGUUUUCUUUGGAGGAAGUUGCUCCUUGCUGUGCUCCUGGUGGUGAUUCUCCGUCAGGAAUAGCCGGUGGAACUUCUCUGAUAAUUUUUUACCCACAU